UACGUAGGGUGCAAGCGUUGUCCGGAAUUAUUGGGCGUAAAGAGCUCGUAGGCGGUUUGUCGCGUCUGCUGUGAAAACUCGGGGCUUAACCCCGGGCCUGCAGUGGGUACGGGCAGACUAGAGCGCGGUAGGGGAGACUGGAAUUCCUGGUGUAGCGGUGAAAUGCGCAGAUAUCAGGAGGAACGCCGGUGGCGAAGGCGGGUCUCUGGGGCGUAACUGACGCUGAGGAGCGAAAGCAUGGGGAGCGAACAGG
rnacentral:rRNA from 1 species